rnacentral:rRNA from 1 species
GACGAACGCUGGCGGCGUGCUUAACACAUGCAAGUCGAGCGGUAAGGCCCUUUCGGGGGUACACGAGCGGCGAACGGGUGAGUAACACGUGGGUGACCUGCCCUCAGCUCUGGGAUAAGCCUGGGAAACCGGGUCUAAUACUGGAUAUGACUCCAUGACGCAUGUUGUGGGGUGGAAAGCCUUGUGCGGCUGAGGAUGGGCCCGCGGCCUAUCAGCUUGUUGGUGGGGUGANGGCCUACCAAGGCGACGACGGUAGCCGGCCUGAGAGGGCGACCGGCCACACUGGGACUGAGACACGGCCCAGACUCCUACGGGAGGCAGCAGUGGGAAUCUUGCGCAAUGGGCGAAAGCCUGACGCAGCGACGCCGCGUGAGGGAU